rnacentral:rRNA from 1 species
UGGGGAAUAUUGGACAAUGGGGGCAACCCUGAUCCAGCCAUGCCGCGUGAGUGAUGAAGGCCUUCGGGUUGUAAAGCUCUUUUGGCGGGGACGAUGAUGACGGUACCCGCAGAAUAAGCCCCGGCUAACUUCGUGCCAGCAGCCGCGGUAAGACGAAGGGGGCUAGCGUUGUUCGGAAUUACUGGGCGUAAAGCGAGUGUAGGCGGUUGCCGUAGUCAGGUGUGAAAGCCUUGAGCUCAACUCAAGAAAUGCACUUGAUACUGGGUGACUAGAGGACCGGAGAGGAUAGUGGAAUUCCCAGUGUAGUGGUGAAAUACGUAGAGAUUGGGAAGAACACCAGUGGCGAAGGCGGCUAUCUGGACGGUUACUGACGCUAAGACUCGAAAGCGUGGGGAGCAAACAGGAUUAGAUACCCUGGUAGUCCACGCCGUAAACGAUGGGUGCUAGACGUUGGCGAGCUUGCUCGUCAGUGUCGCAGCUAACGCGUUAAGCACCCCGCCUGGGGAGUACGGCCGCAAGGGUUGAAAAUCAAAAUGAAUUGACGGGGGUCAUAGCUGUUUCC